rnacentral:rRNA from 1 species
AACUUUCAACAACGGAUCUCUUGGUUCUCGCAUCGAUGAAGAACGCAGCGAAAUGCGAUAAGUAGUGUGAAUUGCAGAAUUCAGUGAAUCAUCGAAUCUUUGAACGCACAUUGCGCCCUCCGGUAUUCCGGAGGGCAUGCCUGUCCGAGCGUCAUU